ACUUCCUCUGGAGACAAACAAGAGCUGCCCCUUUCCAACUUCCAGAAGCCGAAUUUGCUGCUCCAAAAAGAAAAAAAACGAAGACACUCAGCUGUGGAGGACGUUGCUGAAGAAGAAGGAACAAGGGUUGAAACCCACAACUCAAUUCUUUCAUUGAAAAUGGUUCAUCAUUACCCAUUACAACAACUAUAACCUAAGAGCUCUCUUAUUCUGUCUUUGUGUCACAAAAAUUAUUUGCAAGAUCUUCAUAGUAGAGAGAAAAGAAGAAAAAGAGAAACAUGAUAUGUUGAAAGAGCCUCCAGUAGUCUCUCACUCGCCUAACUUUGCACUCCGUUUCUGAACAAGUAAAACCCAAGUUUUGAAGAACUUGUAGUACUCUUCUUCAACUCCAAUUGCGAUGGUUGACACAAGUUUGCAUCUUAAUUUUCCAUAUAUGCUCUUAUGGAAAAGUUUAAUUGAAUCAACA